rnacentral:rRNA from 1 species
CGUGCUUUAGACAUGCAAGUCGAACGAGAUCUUCGGAUCUAGUGGCGAACGGCGGAGUAAUACAUAAACAACGUGCCCUGAAGACUGGGAUAUACGGUCGAAAGGCCGAGCAAUACCGGAUGUGGCCGAGACUAGGCAUCUAGACUCGAUUAAAUGGUUUUUCGCUUCAGGAGCGGUUUAUGACUCAUCAGCUAGUUGGUAGGGUAAUGGCCUACCAAGGCUACGACGGGUAGGGGGUCUGAGAGGAUGAUCCCCCCGAGUGGGACUGAGACACGGCCCACACACCUACGGGUGGCAGCAGUUUGGAAUCUUGCCCAAUGGGGGAAACCCUGAGGCAGCGACGCCGCGUGGAGGAUGAAGGAUUUAGGUCUGUAAACUCCUUUUGCCAGGAAAGACUUAGGACGGUACCUGGCGAAUAAGCUCCGGCUAACUACGUG